GAACACAAGUUUGCUAAGUACACUGCAAGUACAAUUGCGGCUUCAAGUAUUGCCGCAUCAGUCACUGAACUUCAAUGGGAUCAAAGUACUGAUCAGAACAUUAAUUUUUUGCUGAACCUUCUAACUGAUCUAACUAGUGUGGAGCAGGAUGAACUACAGCAGUGUAUGAUGCAAAUGGAAGCCAUAUUUAAAGAACACAGUCAGAACUUGCAACCGUAUAUUGUUUCCAUUCAGAAGCCUCAAA